GGGGGCGUUUUGGUUUCGACGAAUUUGAUAAUUAUAUUAGUCGCAUGUCGAGGACUCACAGUCACUUCGUUAAUCAUCUGUGAAAAUCAAAGAUAAAUGCCGAUAAUGGCUACAUUGCUGCUGCUUAAUUGACAUCAGCUGUUUGUUAGGAAGGGUGUUCGCCUCGUUCUAAACAAACAUCAAUAAUGCGUUCUAGUCAUUUAAAAGUCUGGAUUUAAAUGAUGAAACCUUACAGACUAGCUUAAGAGAAAUGUGAUUAUUCAUGUUUUUUGAGUGAAUUCAAAAAAUAAUCUAAACAUGUAGAAGCUGUUAUGAUUACAUUUUCGGACGCGGGUUCGAGUCCCGCCGCCUCCACAC
rnacentral:tmRNA from 1 species